rnacentral:sRNA from 1 species
AAAUAGCCCUGAUUGAAGUGGAAAUCCUUUUAUUUUUUUCUUUAAAAAAUAAAAGAUUGAAGCGAAAAGCGGGAAUUUAU